GUCUUUUUGAUUAAUAAUUUAAAGUCUAAUCUGCCCACUGAUAAUAUAUUAAAGGGCUGCAGUAUUUUGACUGUACAAAGGUAGCAUAAUCAUUAGUCUCUUAAUUGGUGACUUGUAUGAAAGAUUUAAUGAAAUAUAUACUGUCUCUUUUUAAUUUAUAAAAUUUAAUUUUUUAGUUAAAAAGCUAAAAUAUAUUUAAAAGACGAGAAGACCCUAUAGAGUUUAAUAUUUAAUUAAAUUAAAAUUUUUUAUAAGAUUUAAAAUUUUAAUUUUAGUAAAUAUUUUGUUGGGGUGACAAAAAAAUUAAAAAAACUUUUUUUAUAAAUUUACAUAAAUAAAUGAGUAAUUGAUCCGUAAUUUACGAUUAAAAGAAAAAAUUACCUUAGGGAUAACAGCGUAAUUUUUUUUUUUAGUUCAAAUAAGAAAAAAAGUUUGCGACCUCGAUGUUGGAUUAAGAUAAAAUUUAAAUGUAAAAGUUUAAAAUUUUUGAUCUGUUCGAUCAUUAAAAUCUUACA
rnacentral:rRNA from 1 species